UUGGUGAUUGGGGUGAAGUCGUAACAAGGUAGCCGUAGGAGAACCUGCGGCUGGAUCACCUCCUUUCUAGGGAG
rnacentral:rRNA from 2 species